ACUGCUAAAGAGUCCCACAAUAGGACGAAACGGCCGUCCAGU
rfam:Schistosoma curassoni strain Dakar, Senegal genome assembly, scaffold: SCTD_scaffold0009187